rnacentral:rRNA from 1 species
GACGAACGCUGGCGGCGUGCUUAACACAUGCAAGUCGAACGGUGAAGCGCCUUCCUUUUUGGUGGGUGUGGAUGAGUGGCGAACGGGUGAGUAACACGUGAGUAACCUGCCCCCUUCUUCUGGAUAACCGCAUGAAAGUGUGGCUAAUACGGGAUAUUCUGGGUCUGUCGCAUGAUGGGUCUGGGAAAGAUAUUGUUUCGGUGGGGGAUGGGCUCGCGGCCUAUCAGCUUGUUGGUAGGGUGAUGGUCUACCAAGGCGGUGACGGGUAGCCGGCCUGAGAGGGUGGACGGUCACACUGGGACUGAGACACGGCCCAGACUCCUACGGGAGGCAGCAGUGGGGAAUAUUGCACAAUGGGCGCAAGCCUGAUGCAGCGACGCCGCGUGAGGGAUGGAGGCCUUCGGGUUGUGAACCUCUUUCGCCAGUGAAGCAGGCCUGCCUCGUUUGUGGGUGGGUUGACGGUAGCUGGAGAAGAAGCGCCGGCUAACUACGUG